GAAAGAUAGGGUGAUCAAACUCUCUGUAUAUGCCAACAAUAAUUGGACUUGGACCGUAAGUAAUGGAUUACAACUAGCUUAUAACGGAGUUUAUCGAUAAAAACUGGACUUGAAGGGUAGAUUACUAGACGAGAACUAGUGUUUUGUAUUUUGUUUUUUUUUUGUCAGACGAGAACUGACUUUUUCUAAUUUAUUGUCAGAAGAGAACUGACCUUAAAAUGCUUUACUGUCAGAUGAGAACUGACUUUAAAAUAUUUUACCAGACAGGAACUAGUUUUGAACAGAAAACUGAC
rnacentral:lncRNA from 1 species